rnacentral:rRNA from 1 species
CGAACGAGUGGCGCACGGGUGCGUAACGCGUAUGCAACCUACCUUUAACUAGAGGAUAGCCCGAGAAAUCGGGAUUAAUACUUUAUAAUAAUAAGAUCAGACAUCUGAUUUUAUUUAAAGCUCCGGCGGUUUUAGAUGGGCAUGCGUGACAUUAGUUUGUUGGUGAGGUAACGGCUCACCAAGACUACGAUGUCUAGGGGUUCCGAGAGGAUUUUCCCCCACACUGGUACUGAGACACGGACCAG